GGUCAAGUUAUUAAGGGUGCAGGGCGGAUGCCUUGGCACUAGGAGCCGAUGAAGGACGUGAUAAGCUGCGAUAAGCUUCGGGGAGUUGCACGUAAACUUUGAUCCGAAGAUUUCCGAAUGAGGAAACUCACUUAGAGUAAUGUCUAAGUAUCAUUAAGUGAAUACAUAGCUUAAUGAGGGGAACUCAGGGAACUGAAACAUCUAAGUACCUGAAGGAAGAGAAAGAAAUUCGAUUCCGUAAGUAGCGGCGAGCGAACGCGGAUUAGCCCAAACCAAUAAAGUUUUCUUUAUUGGGGUUGCGGACAUAUCAUAACGAAGAGGUAUCGUAAUUGAAGAGGUU
rnacentral:rRNA from 1 species